rnacentral:rRNA from 1 species
AGUGAACGCUGGCGGUAGGCCUAACACAUGCAAGUCGAACGGCAGCACAGUAAGAGCUUGCUCUUACGGGUGGCGAGUGGCGGACGGGUGAGGAAUACAUCGGAAUCUACUUUUUCGUGGGGGAUAACGUAGGGAAACUUACGCUAAUACCGCAUACGACCUACGGGUGAAAGCAGGGGAUCUUCGGACCUUGCGCGAUUGAAUGAGCCGAUGUCGGAUUAGCUAGUUGGCGGGGUAAAGGCCCACCAAGGCGACGAUCCGUAGCUGGUCUGAGAGGAUGAUCGCCCACCUUGGAACUGAGACACGGACCAGAGUCCUGAGGGAGGCAGCAGUGGGGAAUAUUGGACAAUGGGGGCAAGCCUGAUCCAGCCAUACCGCGUGGGUGACGAAGGCCUUCGGGUUGUAAAGCCCUUUUGUUGGGAGAGAAAAGCAGCAGGUUAAUACCCCGCUGUUCUGACGGUACCCAAAGAAUAAGCACCGGCUAACUUCGUG